CAGAAACGUUGCGAGUUAUUUACGGAGAUGCAAGACCAACUGAAGUCAAAGAAAAAUUACAAAAGUGGUUACUACUACUGCCAGACAGUAUAACAGCCCAAAUAGAUGCAGCGUUGCGACAGGAACGGCCAUUCCUUCCACCAGACAUCACACCAGAGAUGAUGGCUGCAAAAAACAGUAUUGUACCUUCCAUGACUCAAAUGGAUAUCCUCUAUGUAAGAAACGAACUGAUAUUUCAUCUGCUUAUAGAAUGUUGUCGCUACGAUGCGUCACAAAUUUUGUAAAUAUAAACGAGUACACGAGGCUACCAAUUUGGGGCUGGUUGUACGAAAGCUGGAUAUAGCGCUGUCCACCAGGUUGUGAUUUUUAAAGCUUUUUAAAAUUGACCGUUAUUUUGUUUAAGCCAAAUUAAACGUUAGUAUCAGUACAUUAUCAAAGUUUCUUUCUGUUUAUUGCGAGUUAUAGUUUCACAGCUUUUCAGGCAUUUUUAGUGAAGUUGGGGAAAUCACUAUCCGGAUGGAUAGCGCUAUAUUCACGCUUUCGUAUACAACCGGGCUCUGAUUAUUUUGCAUCCGUAUCUCGUUGCUACUAAUGUCCGGCAAAAAUGUUUAGUUAACACAAUUUUUUCUUCCUGAAUAACUGAGUUUUAUACAUUUUUUCUAUGGUUAAUAAUAUAUCCACGCCGCGAUAUUUUACUGUUUAC